UCUAGAAGCUUCGGCAAUGGGCGAAAGCCUGACCGAGCGACGCCGCGUGCGGGACGAAGGUCUUCGGAUUGUAAACCGCUUUCGACCGGGAUGAACGGCCGGGGGGUGAAUAGCCCUGCGGUUUGACAGUACCGGGAGAAGAAGCCCCGGCUAACUCCGUGCCAGCAGCCGCGGUAAUACGGAGGGGGCAAGCGUUGUUCGGAUUUAUUGGGCGUAAAGCGCGCGUAGGCGGUGCAGUAAGUCGGAUGUUAAAGACCCACGGCUCACCCGGGGGAAUGAGUCCGAUACUGCUGUGCUGGAGUGUGGAAGAGGAGAGGGGAAUUCCAGGUGUAGCGGUGAAAUGCGUAGAUAUCUGGAGGAACACCGGUGGCGAAGGCGGCUCUCUGGUCCAUAACUGACGCUGAGGCGCGAAAGCGUGGGGAGCGAACGGG
rnacentral:rRNA from 2 species